rnacentral:rRNA from 1 species
AGAGUUUGAUCCUGGCUCAGGAUGAACGCUAGCUACAGGCUUAACACAUGCAAGUCGAGGGGAAACGACAUCGAAAGCUUGCUUUUGAUGGGCGUCGACCGGCGCACGGGUGAGUAACGCGUAUCCAACCUGCCCACCACUUGGGGAUAACCUUGCGAAAGUAAGACUAAUACCCAAUGACAUCCAUAGAAGACAUCUGAAAUGGAUUAAAGAUUUAUCGGUGAUGGAUGGGGAUGCGUCUGAUUAGCUUGUUGGCGGGGUAACGGCCCACCAAGGCGACGAUCAGUAGGGGUUCUGAGAGGAAGGUCCCCCACAUUGGAACUGAGACACGGUCCAAACUCCUACGGGAGGCAGCAGUGAGGAAUAUUGGUCAAUGGGCGAGAGCCUGAACCAGCCAAGUAGCGUGCAGGAUGACGGCCCUAUGGGUUGUAAACUGCUUUUAUAAGGGAAUAAAGUGGGUCACGUGUGACUUUUUGCAUGUACCUUAUGAAUAAGGACCGGCUAAUUCCGUGCCAGCAGCCGCGGUAAUACGGAAGGUCCGGGCGUUAUCCGGAUUUAUUGGGUUUAAAGGGAGCGUAGGCCGGAGAUUAAGCGUGUUGUGAAAUGUAGUGGCUCAACCUCUGCACUGCAGCGCGAACUGGUCUUCUUGAGUACGCACAACGUGGGCGGAAUUCGUGGUGUAGCGGUGAAAUGCUUAGAUAUCACGAAGAACUCCGAUUGCGAAGGCAGCUCACGGGAGCGCAACUGACGCUGAAGCUCGAAAGUGCGGGUAUCGAACAGGAUUAGAUACCCUGGUAGUCCGCACGGUAAACGAUGGAUGCCCGCUGUUGGCCUGAAUAGGUCAGCGGCCAAGCGAAAGCAUUAAGCAUCCCACCUGGGGAGUACGCCGGCAACGGUGAAACUCAAAGGAAUUGACGGGGGCCCGCACAAGCGGAGGAACAUGUGGUUUAAUUCGAUGAUACGCGAGGAACCUUACCAAGGCUUGACAUUGAAUGACCGCUUCAGAGAUGAAGCUUUCCCUUCGGGGACAUGAAAACAGGUGGUGCAUGGCUGUCGUCAGCUCGUGUCGUGAGAUGUUGGGUUAAGUCCCGCAACGAGCGCAACCCCUAUCCUAUGUUACCAGCGGGUAAUGCCGGGGACUCAUAGGAGACUGCCAAGGACAACUUGGAGGAAGGCGGGGAUGACGUCAAGUCAUCAUGCCCCUUAUGUCUUGGGCUACACACGUACUACAAUGGUCGGCAACAGAGGGAAGCGAAGCCGCGAGGCAGAGCAAACCCCAGAAACCCGAUCUCAGUUCGGAUUGCAGGCUGCAACUCGCCUGCAUGAAGUCGGAAUCGCUAGUAAUCGCAGGUCAGCAUACUGCGGUGAAUACGUUCCCGGGCCUUG